rnacentral:rRNA from 1 species
GACGAACGCUGGCGGCGUGCUUAACACAUGCAAGUCGAACGCUGAAGCAUCCAGCUUGCUGGGUGUGGAUGAGUGGCGAACGGGUGAGUAACACGUGAGUAACCUGCCCCUGACUUCGGGAUAAGCCUGGGAAACUGGGUCUAAUACCGGAUAUGACUACUGGCCGCAUGGUCUGGUGGUGGAAAGGGUUUUACUGGUUGGGGAUGGACUCGCGGCCUAUCAGUUUGUUGGUGGGGUAGUGGCCUACCAAGACGACGACGGGUAGCCGGCCUGCGAGGGCGACCGGCCACACUGGGACUGAGACACGGCCCAGACUCCUACGGGAGGCAGCAGUGGGGAAUAUUGCACAAUGGGGGGAACCCUGAUGCAGCGACGCCGCGUGCGGGAUGACGGCCUUCGGGUUGUAAAUCGCUUUCAGUAGGGAAGAAGCGAAAGUGACGGUACCUGCAGAAGAAGUACCGGCUAACUACGUGCCAGCCGCCGCGGUAAGAC